GAUUUUAUUGUAAUUAUUUUGAAAGUAAUUAGUAAGGUAUUUUCCUUUAAAGUCA
rnacentral:tRNA from 1 species